rnacentral:rRNA from 2 species
GAUGAACGCUGGCGGCGUGCCUAAUACAUGCAAGUCGAACGAGUUCUUGUUGAUGAUCGGUGCUUGCACCAAGAUUCAACAUGGAACGAGUGGCGGACGGGUGAGUAACACGUGGGUAACCUGCCCUUAAGUGGGGGAUAACAUUUGGAAACAGAUGCUAAUACCGCAUAGAUCCAAGAACCGCAUGGUUCUUGGCUGAAAGAUGGCGUAAGCUAUCGCUUUUGGAUGGACCCGCGGCGUAUUAGCUAGUUGGUGAGGUAAUGGCUCACCAAGGCGAUGAUACGUAGCCGAACUGAGAGGUUGAUCGGCCACAUUGGGACUGAGACACGGCCCAAACUCCUACGGGAGGCAGCAGUAGGGAAUCUUCCACAAUGGACGCAAGUCUGAUGGAGCAACGCCGCGUGAGUGAAGAAGGCUUUCGGGUCGUAAAACUCUGUUGUUGGAGAAGAAUGGUCGGCAGAGUAACUGUUGUCGGCGUGACGGUAUCCAACCAGAAAGCCACGGCUAACUACGUGCCAGCAGCCGCGGUAAUACGUAGGUGGCAAGCGUUAUCCGGAUUUAUUGGGCGUAAAGCGAGCGCAGGCGGUUUUUUAAGUCUGAUGUGAAAGCCCGCGGCUUAACCGAGGAAGCGCAUCGGAAACUGGGAAACUUGAGUGCAGAAGAGGACAGUGGAACUCCAUGUGUAGCGGUGAAAUGCGUAGAUAUAUGGAAGAACACCAGUGGCGAAGGCGGCUGUCUGGUCUGUAACUGACGCUGAGGCUCGAAAGCAUGGGUAGCGAACAGGAUUAGAUACCCUGGUAGUCCAUGCCGUAAACGAUGAAUGCUAGGUGUUGGAGGGUUUCCGCCCUUCAGUGCCGCAGCUAACGCAUUAAGCAUUCCGCCUGGGGAGUACGACCGCAAGGUUGAAACUCAAAGGAAUUGACGGGGGCCCGCACAAGCGGUGGAGCAUGUGGUUUAAUUCGAAGCAACGCGAAGAACCUUACCAGGUCUUGACAUCUUUUGAUCACCUGAGAGAUCAGGUUUCCCCUUCGGGGGCAAAAUGACAGGUGGUGCAUGGUUGUCGUCAGCUCGUGUCGUGAGAUGUUGGGUUAAGUCCCGCAACGAGCGCAACCCUUAUGACUAGUUGCCAGCAUUUAGUUGGGCACUCUAGUAAGACUGCCGGUGACAAACCGGAGGAAGGUGGGGAUGACGUCAAAUCAUCAUGCCCCUUAUGACCUGGGCUACACACGUGCUACAAUGGAUGGUACAACGAGUUGCGAGACCGCGAGGUCAAGCUAAUCUCUUAAAGCCAUUCUCAGUUCGGACUGUAGGCUGCAACUCGCCUACACGAAGUCGGAAUCGCUAGUAAUCGCGGAUCAGCACGCCGCGGUGAAUACGUUCCCGGGCCUUGUACACACCGCCCGUCACACCAUGAGAGUUUGUAACACCCGAAGCCGGUGGCGUAACCCUUUUAGGGAGCGAGCCGUCUAAGGUGGGACAAAUGAUUAGGGUG